UACGUAGGGUGCGAGCGUUGUCCGGAAUUAUUGGGCGUAAAGAGCUCGUAGGCGGCUUGUCACGUCGAUUGUGAAAGCUCGGGGCUUAACCCCGAGUCUGCAGUCGAUACGGGCUAGCUAGAGUGUGGUAGGGGAGAUCGGAAUUCCUGGUGUAGCGGUGAAAUGCGCAGAUAUCAGGAGGAACACCGGUGGCGAAGGCGGAUCUCUGGGCCAUUACUGACGCUGAGGAGCGAAAGCGUGGGGAGCGAACAGG
rnacentral:rRNA from 1 species